CCUACGGGAGGCAGCAGGGGGGAAUAUUGCACAAUGGGCGAAAGCCUGAUGCAGCAACGCCGCGUGAGUGAUGAAGGCCUUCGGGUCGUAAAGCUCUGUCCUCAAGGAAGAUAAUGACGGUACUUGAGGAGGAAGCCCCGGCUAACUACGUGCCAGCAGCCGCGGUAAUACGGAGGGUGCGAGCGUUAAUCGGAAUUACUGGGCGUAAAGCGCUCGUAGGCGGUAUGUCAAGUCAAGGGUGAAAUCCCCGCGCUCAACGUGGGAACUGCCUUUGAAACUGGCAAACUGGAGUGUGUGAGAGGAUAGUGGAAUUCCAGGUGUAGGCGUGAAAUCCGUAGAUAUCUGGAGGAACAUCAGUGGCGAAGGCGACUAUCUGGCACAUAACUGACGCUGAGGAGCGAAAGCGUGGGUAGCAAACAGGAUUAGAUACCCCAGUAGUU
rnacentral:rRNA from 1 species